rnacentral:rRNA from 1 species
UACGUAGGGUGCAAGCGUUAAUCGGAAUUACUGGGCGUAAAGCGCACGCAGGCGGCUUGUUAAGUUAGAUGUGAAAGCCCCGGGCUCAACCUGGGAAAUGCAUUUAAAACUGUCCAGCUAGAGUCUUGUAGAGGGGGGUAGAAUUCUAGGUGUAGCGGUGAAAUGCGUAGAGAUCGGGAGGAAUACCGGUGGCGAAGGCGGCCCCCUGGACAAAGACUGACGCUGAGGUGCGAAAGCGUGGGGAGCAAACAGG